GCGUUCGUCGCGUUCGUGGUUGCUUCUAUUUCCUUGAACCGAUGCUCAUUGAGCCAGGGCUUGGAAUAUUGCGGCGCGGGCGUGAUCAUCUCGCGUCAGAUGAACCCGAAGUGCUGCUGACCUCGCCCACCUGAAUCCCCCUGGGUUCAGGAAUGCGGCAACCAGUGCGCGGCGAACACC
rnacentral:other from 1 species